CCUUGAGCCUCAGCCACUUUUCCUGGAAACCUUUAGACUUGAAUCCAAGGAUAUCUCUCCAGCUGGACCAUGGGUGUGGAGCUGAGCAAAUACUCUGUCGUUGAUCAUCCCCUGCGGUCCAGAUGCUUCCCCAGAGGGUUGGAUAGUGGGUUCCGGGAAAGGCCAGGCGGGUGUCAGAGGUCUCUGUCAACCCGCUGA
rnacentral:lncRNA from 13 species